AAAGUUCGAUAAUCUUGCUUUGCAUAUUCUUGAAUUCUAAUGGCCAUUUUGAAGCACUUUCUGCGUCAUCUUGGAUAGGAUCCAAGCCAACAUCUUUUACAUUCUUUGCUGACACACCAUCUUGAAUUGGAUCCAAGCCAACAUCUUUUACAUUCUUUGCUGAGGCACCGUCUUGAAUUGGAUCCAAGCCAACAUCUUUAACACUCUUUGCUGACACAUUAUAACAAAUUGAAUCCAAGCCAACAUCUUUUACCUUCUUUGCAGACAUAUUAUGUUGUGUUGCAUCCAAGCCAUCAUCUCCUAUAUUCUCUGCAUCCUCCGCGGUUGUUUCUUGUUCCUA
rnacentral:lncRNA from 1 species